AACGAACGCUGGCGGCAGGCUUAACACAUGCAAGUCGAACGCAUCCUUCGGGGUGAGUGGCAGACGGGUGAGUAACGCGUGGGAACGUGCCCUUCAGUUCGGGAUAACCCAGGGAAACUUGGGCUAAUACCGGAUACGUGCGAGAGCAGAAAGAUUUAUCGCUGAAGGAUCGGCCCGCGUCUGAUUAGCUAGUUGGUGGGGUAAUGGCCCACCAAGGCGACGAUCAGUAGCUGGUCUGAGAGGAUGAUGAGCCACAUUGGGACUGAGACACGGCCCAAUCUCCUACGGGAGGCAGAGGUGGGGAAUAUGGGACAAUGGACGCAAGCCUGAUCCAGCCAUGCCUCGUGAGUGAUGAAGGCCUUAGGGUUGUAAAUCUCUUUCGUCCGGGACGAUAAUGACGGUACCGGAAGAAGAAGCCCCGGCUAACUUCGUGCCAGCAGCCGCCGUAA
rnacentral:rRNA from 1 species